GACGAACGCUGGCGGCGUGCUUAACACAUGCAAGUCGAACGGAAAGGCCCUGCUUUUGUGGGGUGCUCGAGUGGCGAACGGGUGAGUAACACGUGAGUAACCUGCCCUUGACUUUGGGAUAACUUCAGGAAACUGGGGCUAAUACCGGAUAGGAGCUCCUGCUGCAUGGUGGGGGUUGGAAAGUUUCGGCGGUUGGGGCUGGACUCGCGGCUUAUCAGCUUGUUGGUGGGGUAGUGGCUUACCAAGGCUUUGACGGGUAGCCAGCCUGAGAGGGUGACCGGCCACAUUGGGCCUGGGGUACGGCCCAGACUGCAACGGGAGGCAGCAGUGGAGAAUUGUGCACAAUGGGCGGAGGCAUGGUGGAGCAACGCCGGGUGGGGGAUGACGGCCUUCGGGUUGUAAACCGCUUGCGCCUGAGACGAAGCGUGAGGGACGGUAAUGGGUAAAGAAGCACCGGCUAACUACGU
rnacentral:rRNA from 1 species